rnacentral:tRNA from 1 species
GAGGGUGUAGCUCAAGUGGAAAGUGCAUGCUUAACAUGCACAAGGUCCUGGGUUCGAUCCCCAGUACCUCCU